UACGAAGGGGGCUAGCGUUGUUCGGAUUUACUGGGCGUAAAGCGCACGUAGGCGGACCAGCAAGUUAGGGGUGAAAUCCCGGGGCUCAACCCCGGAACUGCCUUUAAAACUGUUGGUCUGGAGGUCGAGAGAGGUGAGUGGAAUUCCGAGUGUAGAGGUGAAAUUCGUAGAUAUUCGGAGGAACACCAGUGGCGAAGGCGGCUCACUGGCUCGAUACUGACGCUGAGGUGCGAAAGCGUGGGGAGCAAACAGG
rnacentral:rRNA from 1 species